AUCUCAGUUGCUCAACAAACUCAAUGCAGCAGGCACAAAACCUUUUUUUAUUUGUGAAGAACUAAGCUAAACUAAACCUUGACUUAGACUAAAAAUUUAUUUUGACAUUUGACUGUCAAUUUAAAGCUGUGAAAUUACUUUUGCGAUUGUGACAGACUAAUAUUUUAUCAGGAUAAGGAUUUUGUAAUUUGGGAGUGAACUGUGAAGUUUAUAUAUAUAUAUUGUUUGAGAAGAGUCCUAUUUCAAGGCUUCAAGACAGCAACUGUUUAGAUUUAAAUACUAAUCAAAGAAGUUUCCAGCAGCAUUACAGCAUUUUUCAUCUGAAUAACGUAUUUUACUGUAACAUUUGCAGAAGGACAUGGCCAAGCCUACGGUCAGGAUGUCGUCCCACCGACCGAUGGAACUGUGGGUGGGAUUCGUGAACCACGUGCCCUUGGUGGGCACUUCUGCCAACAUGGUGGACGGCUUCAUUGCUCUGCUCCAGGGAGACCGAAGGGCGGCGGAGGCCAAGGGCUAUAAGGGCUUUCUAGAUUCAGCUGGAAUCCAUCAACUGAAGCCAGGGUCCAUCCUUCAGAACCACAAAAGCCAGACAGUAAUCGGGUGCAGCGCCAAAGUAUCCAAAGACAUAAACGACUACAUUAUACAGGCGAUUAAACCAGGGGGGAGCGCCGCCGUCACAGCAGCUAAGGCAGCCAAGUCAGGUGCCGAUUUACGCACACGCCUUACCGCGUCUUUCGAGGUACUCAGGGGUAAACUGAGAGAACGUGGUAUAGACCUGGCCAGAGAUGUGAUCCAGGCCGGAAGGGCUAGCCGGGGAGAACACGUUUUCAACAACGCCCUGCUGGGGCUAUAUGGGUCCAUAAUCGAUGCGUUCAUUCAAAGUCACGUCACAGGCGAUGACAGAGUGACGCUGGUUGGCCGUAUUCCGAACAGCCGGGUUAGUGACGCCUUUCAAGGGCACGCCCCAAACGGUGAUCACAUCAACCUGACCGCUGAUCAGAGACGAAACAUUACCACCUGGGUGGUACACAUUCCUGACAAUGUGGUAUAUGUGCCAAUCAACAAUAUCCUGUUUGCAUACAUGACAGAAACCAUCAGGGUCAAUGCUGUUGACUACAUGCAUUUGUUUCGUCUGCAGCAAAAUAAUGAAAACGUGUUGCAUAUUCUUGGUGGCACGGUAGAUUGGAUUAAUACGCAUCGCGUUUAUCUGGACCCACAGGCUGCGGAAAUAUGGUUUACUGAAAACCCAAAUCUCAUUCCUCAGUUUCACACAACUGAAGAUGGAGUGCAGCUAAUGUUGAGGCACCUGGAUCCCCAGAGGUCAACCCUGUUACGUGACUUUGUGAAUGAUCUGAGACAGGCAGAUGCAACUUUUUAUUAAUGGAUGUUAGGAGUCCGCCAUCAAUUGCAGAUGCAAGUGGACCAGUUCAGAACAGAAGCCUCCUUUCUGCCUUAGUGUUAGAAUUUUGAAAUGCUUCAUGUCAGAACAGCUAAUUAUGUUGUUACAAAAUGAGUUUCUUUCAUAAGUGAUUUUUAUCAUCAAUAUAAAUAAAAGUUGUUUAUUUCAAACUCUUGAAGCUCAGUAGAUAUGUUGCUUUGCUUUCAACUUUCGGUUGUGGGAAUACGUUUACUCGGGGUACAGUGGCUUUGGCUGAAUAAUAAUAAUAAUAAUAAUAAUAAUAAUAAUAACAAUUCUGGAAAUGACCAAAAAUCAGUUCAGGAAGUUUUAUUUCCAAAUUAGUUAUUUAAAUGUAUAUUAGAGAAAAUUUGUAACCACCACAUAUGUUUCUAAUUGUAUGCUCUCUAAUAAAUCAACUUCUGUGUGAUCUAGUAAUUCUUUAAAGUGUAACCAUGCAUUAAUUUGUCACUAUAUGUUUUUCUACAAGAUGUCAGAAUGUGUUGCAGAUCCUGCUGGACAAAGUGAUGUAAUUGUUUGGGUGUUGGUGAUGUUUUGAAGAGCUUGGUUAAAUAAAUUGUUUGCAAACGAUUGUGUCCAUGGUCUCCCAUUAGAUAAAAGGGUAUCAGAUCUGUAAAAGGUUUUGAAUAUUUCCUGAUUACUAUGUACACUAUAUGACCAGAAGUAUCUGGCCACCCCUUGGUAUGGGGAUAUUUUUCAUGGUUUUGGCUAGGCCGCUCACUUCCAGUAAAGGAAGUUAUUAAUGCUACAGCUUUAGGAAAAUGGCUAACACGUCCUGAGCGUGUUCAUCUUUCAAUGGGUCAGAGAGUCGAACGUGUAGAACACAGGUGUCAAACCGUGUUCCAUCGAGGCCAGAGAGCUUGCAGGUUUUCAUUUCAACCAAGCUCUACACCAGCUCAUUUCCCUCAUUAGCUCUCCCUUUGCUUGUUAAUUAUACACUAUAUAGUGAAAUCACCCCGCCGCAGUGUUUAGUAAAAUACAAAAAAUUUUGCCCUCGAUGGAACCAGUUUGACACCACUGGUGUAGAAUGUCUUUUGUCUCUGUGGUCAACUGUUUGCCAGGUUUACCACUAGGUGGCAGCAUUAUUCACAUUGAGAUUUACUAAAGUUAGCAUUUGCCUCCUCGAAGAUGGUGGCUCUUAUUUCUCUAAAUAUUUGUCCUUUGGAUUUACUCACUGAAUAUACUGUAUCAAUAUUGUCCAUAUGAUAAAAUGAGGCUCGGCUUCAUGCAGCUUUCUGCACACUGACUUUCAGUAUAAAGUGAAAUAGUCAUUAUUAAAUAAUCUGUGUAAUUUCCAUGCUUGAUACGCACUGCACAGUCAUGCACUCACAUUGGCUAGAAAUGCUCAUGCAUUAACCCAGUGAACAUUUUUGUGGUGGAAAGUCGGUGAAACGCUGUACAGGCAUUCAAAUGGAAACCCGGAUACAUUUGGUUGAAAAGUGAUGGCUAUUCCGCAUAAGACAGCAUGAUUUCCCUUCCCUAAAAGAAUAUAGCUACAGAAUGUCAGAGCUGCAUCACCGUACCACACCUUAUUUACAGCAGAAACGGAAAAUCAGUUUUUAUGUGUGUGUUACUACUGCUGAUGAUACACUUUCAUGGUCAGAAAAGAAAGAAAAAACUUGUAUUCAGGACGGAAAUAUGCAGCCAAUCCCUCAGGCUGUUACCUUGAACUUGCUAAACCGGUUUUCUGCAUAGGUAUAAAAUGGUGCCCACUUCUGCUCCUCUCGGGUUCUCUCCACUCUCAUUUCAUGCUUUAUUCUGUUUUUUAAGCUGUCAGCUUUCUCCUCAAACUAAUGUCCAGGGAGGCUCACAACUUCAUCCUAAGGCCAGGACAUGGCCAAAUCUGAGGUCAGGAUGUCGUCCCACCCACCGGUGGAACUGUUCACAAGAUCACUGGGAUCCCACCCACAAAUAGAACCGUUGAUGGCAACCAACCCUCCGAUUGAACUGUGGGUGGGAUUCGUGAACGACGUGCCCUUGGUGGGCACUUCCGCCGACAUGGUGGACGGCUUCAUUGCGCUGCUCCAGGGAGACCUAAAGACCGCGAAGGACAAGGGCUAUGAGGACUUUCUAGAUUCAGCUGGAAUCCAUCAACUGAAGCCAGGGUCCAUCCUUCAGAAACACAAAAGCCAGACAGUAAUCGGGUGCAGCGCCAAAGUAUCCAAAGACAUAAACGACUACAUUAUACAGGCAGUACAAAAACCAGGGGCGAGCGCCGCCAUCACAGCAGCUAAGGCAGCCAAGUCAGGUGCCGAUUUACACAAAAACCUUAUUGCGUCUUUCGAGGUACUCAGGGGUAAACUGAAAGAACGUGGUAUAGACCUGGCCAGAGAUGUGAUCCAGGCCCGAAGGUCUAACCGGGGAGAACACGUUUUCAACAACGCCCUGCUGGGGCUAUAUGGGUCCAUAAUCGAUGUGUUCAUUCAAAGACACGUCACAGGCGGUGACAGAGUGACGCUGGUUGGCCGUAUUCCGAACAGCCGGGUUAGUGACGCCUUUCAAGGGCACGCCCCAGACGGUGAUCACAUCAACCUGACCGCUGAUCAGAGACGAAACAUUAGCACCUGGGUGGUACACAUUCCUGACAAUGUGGUAUAUGUGCCAAUCAACAAUAUCCUGUUUGCAUACAUGACAGAAACCAUCAGCCUCAAUGCUGUUGACUACAUGCAUUUGUUUCGUCUGCAGCAAAUUAAUGAAAACGUGUUGCAUAUUCUUGGUCGCACGGUAGAUUGGAUUAAUACGCAUCGCGUUUAUCUGGACCCACAGGCUGCGGAAAUAUGGUUUACUGAAAACCCAAAUCUCAUUCCUCAGUUUCACACAACUGAAGAUGGAGUGCAGCUAAUGUUGAGGCACCUGGAUCCCCAGAGGUCAACCCUGUUACGUGACUUUGUGAAUGACCUGAGACAGGCAGGUGCAACUUUUUAUUAAUGGAUGUUAGGAGUCCGCCAUCACUUGCAGAUGCAAGUGGACCAGUUCAGAACAGAAGCCUCCUUUCUGCCUUAGUGUUAGAAUUUUAAAAUGCUUCGUGGCUUACCUCAAAACAGCUAAUUAUGUUGUUACAAAAUGAGUUUCUUUCAUAAGUGAUUUUUAUCAUCGAUAUAAAUACAAGCUGUUUAUUUCAAACUCUUGAAGCUCAGUAGAUAUGCUGCAGUGCUUUGAACUUUCGGUUUUGGGAAUACGUUUACUCGGGGUACAGUGGCUUUGGCUGAAUAAUAAUAAUAAUAAUGACCAAAAAUCAGUUCAGGAAGUUUUAUUUCCAAAUUAGUUAUUUAGUUAUUUAUAAUGCAUAUUAGAGGAAAUUUGUAACCACCGCAUAUGUUUCUAAUUGUAUUCUCUUUAGUAAAUCAACUUCUGUGUGAUCUAGUAAUUCUUUAAAGUGUAACCAUGCUUUCAUUUGUCAGUAUAUGUUUUUCUACAAGAUGUCAGAAUGUGUUGCAGAUCCUGCUGGACAAAGUGAUGUAAUUGUUUGGGUGUUGGCGACGUCUUGAAGAGCUUGGUAAAAUAAAUUGUUUGCAAACGA